rnacentral:rRNA from 1 species
UACGAGGGGGGCAAAUGUUGUUCGGAUUCAUUGGGCGUAAAGGGUGCGUAGGCGGCGCGGUAAGUCGGGUGUGAAAUCUCGGAGCUUAACUCCGAAACUGCAUUCGAUACUGCCGUGCUUGAGGACUGGAGAGGAGACUGGAAUUUACGGUGUAGCGGUGAAAUGCGUAGAUAUCGUAAGGAAGACCAGUGGCGAAGGCGGGUCUCUGGACAGUUCCUGACGCUGAGGCACGAAGGUCAGGGGAGCAAACGGG